UAGGGAAUCUUCCGCAAUGGGCGAAAGCCUGACGGAGCAACGCCGCGUGAGUGAUGAAGGUCUUCGGAUCGUAAAACUCUGUUAUUAGGGAAGAACAAAUGUGUAAGUAACUAUGCACGUCUUGACGGUACCUAAUCAGAAAGCCACGGCUAACUACGUGCCAGCAGCCGCGGUAAUACGUAGGUGGCAAGCGUUAUCCGGAAUUAUUGGGCGUAAAGCGCGCGUAGGCGGUUUUUUAAGUCUGAUGUGAAAGCCCACGGCUCAACCGUUGAGGGUCAUUGGAAACUGGAAAACUUGAGUGCAGAAGAGGAAAGGGGAAUUCCAUGUGUAGCGGUGAAAUGCGCAGAGAUAUGGAGGAACACCAGUGGCGAAGGCGACUUUCUGGUCUGUAACUGACGCUGAUGUGCGAAAGCGUGGGGAUCAAACAGG
rnacentral:rRNA from 1 species